CCCACGGAGACGAAGUGGCGGUCAUCCAGCUUCCUAGAAAAGCUCUAACCACGUUAAUCUUUAGUUGCCUGUACCCGAAACCGACACAGGUAAGGGGGUAGAGAAUACCAAGGGGCGCGAGAUAACUCUCUCUAAGGAACUCGGCAAAAUGACCCCGUAACUUCGGGAGAAGGGGUACCACUGAGAAGUGGUCGCAGUGAAGAGGCCCAGGCGACUGUUUACCAAAAACACAGGUCUCCGCCAAGUCGCAAGACGAAGUAUGGGGGCUGACGCCUGCCCAGUGCCGGAAGGUUAAGGAAGUGGGUUAGGGAUUCGUCCCGAAGCUGACGACUGAAGCCCCGGUGAACGGCGGCCGUAACUAUAACGGUCCUAAGGUAGCGAAAUUCCUUGUCGGGUAAGUUCCGACCCGCACGAAAGGCGUAACGAUCUGGGCGCUGUCUCGGAGAGAGGCUCGGCGAAAUAGGAUUGUCUGUGAAGAUACGGACUACCUGCACCUGGACAGAAAGACCCUAUGAAGCUUUACUGUAGCUUGGAAUUGGGUUCGGGCUUGGUUUGCGCAGGAUAGGUGGGAGGCGAAGAAGAUUUGCUUGUGGGUGAAUCUGAGCCAACGGUGAGAUACCACUCUAACCAGGCUAGAAUUCUAACUUCAACCCGUCAACCGGGGGAAGGACAGUUUCAGGUGGGCAGUUUGACUGGGGCGGUCGCCUCCUAAAAGAUAACGGAGGCGCACAAAGGUUCCCUCAGGCUGGUUGGAAAUCAGCCAACGAGUGCAAAGGCAGAAGGGAGCUUGACUGCGAGACCUACAAGUCAAGCAGGGUGGAAACACGGUCUUAGUGAUCCGACGGCACCGAGUGGAAGGGCCGUCGCUCAACGGAUAAAAGUUACUCUAGGAUAACAGGCUGAUCUCCCCCAAGAGUUCACAUCGACGGGGAGGUUUGGCACCUCGAUGUCGGCUCAUCGCAACCUGGGGCGGAAGUACGUCCCAAGGGUUGGGCUGUUCGCCCAUUAAAGCGGUACGUGAGCUGGGUUCAGAACGUCGUGAGACAGUUCGGUCCAUAUCCGGUGUAGGCGCAAGAACAUUGAGAGGAGUCUUCCUUAGUACGAGAGGACCGGGAAGAACGCACCGCUGGUGUACCUGUUAUCGUGCCAACGGUAAACGCAGGGUAGCCAAGUGCGGAGUGGAUAACCGCUGAAAGCAUCUAAGUGGGAAGCCCACCUCAAGAUGAGUGUUCUCAUGGAGUAAUCCAGUAAGGUCACGGGAAGACGACCCGUUGAUAGGCGGUAGGUGGAAGUUCAGCAAUGGAUGAAGCCGAGCCGUACUAACAGACC
rnacentral:rRNA from 1 species